rnacentral:rRNA from 1 species
AUACGUAGGGGGCGAGCGUUGUCCGGAAUGAUUGGGCGUAAAGGGCGCGUAGGCGGCGCGGUAAGUCUGGAGUGAAAGUCCUGCUUUCAAGGUGGGAAUUGCUUUGGAUACUGCCGCGCUUGAGUGCAGGAGAGGUUAUCGGAAUUCCCGGUGUAGCGGUGAAAUGCGUAGAGAUCGGGAGGAACACCAGUGGCGAAGGCGGGUAACUGGACUGCAAAUGACGCUGAGGCGCGAAAGUGUGGGGAGCAAACAGGAUUAGAUACCCUGUUAGUCCACACUUUAAACGAUGAAUGCUAGGUGUAAGAGGUAUCGACCCCUUUUGUGCCGGAGUUAACACAAUAAGCAUUCCGCCUGGGGAGUACGGCCGCAAGGUUGAAACUCAAAUGAAUUGACGGGG